CUCUUUCUUUAAUUUAUUGUUGAAGUAGGGAGAGAAGGCAGUACAGGGUGGAGGAAAAAAGUGUAGGUACUGUGUUGUUGAUACCUUCGUAAACUUAAUAAUAUAACAUUGCAUAAAAACCUUAGAAACAAUGCUCUAACAAAUAAACAAUAGUAGACGGUAGCAACUGACGAAUCCAAUCUGUAGUUUACUAUGGAAAUAUAUAGUAUUUUAAUUAUGGAGUAAGAAAUUUGUAUAUUAUGUGGAUAGGAAAUUGAUUAUUUAAAGAGUGGUGAAAAAUCUGAAGUUUAAUAGUUUGAACCAUAGAAAGUAAACAUAACACAGCAACACUUUCAAUAACAAACAUACACUGACAUACAUAACCUGAACCUGACUCUUGAUACAUAUGAAAAUUAACAAUAUUAUUCAACGAUAUAAUUAGGAAUCUUUUGUAAGUUUGAAAAUAUUAUAAGAAAUAUAUAUAUUCAUCCUUUCCAAGUGUGUAUAAGAAUUUAAAGUUGGUGGAGUUAUAACAAUUUUAAUACUCAACAAUAAAAUAUGAAUUUACUUAAAAAUUCUUAAUUUAUAUUGUGACAAAUCUUUCCUGGAGAUUAUUUGCAGUUCAAAUGUCUUAGGAUGUAUGUUGGCACAGAUCACACCCAAAAGUUCAAAAAUGAUUUAAUUAAGUCCAGUAGUUGUUUCAAAAUUUAUAUCGUUCAUAAAUCAAAUGAUUUCAAAGUGAGUUAAAAAUUAGAGAGUUUAAUAUCAAAUUAAAUUCUAUUUUAAAUAGAAUUACACGGCUUUAGUUCAGCGGGAGUACGAUUAUCUUAAAAGUAGGACUUCUGGGUGUCUAAGUAGAAUUACUUCUCUUUAUAUUAUGUUAUAUAUACAAUCUAAUUGAAGUUCAGUUUUAUCAACUUUUGCCACAAUAUAGUUUGUUUGGCUAGAAAUCUCACGUAUUUAUAAGCAUGUAAGCAAAUUUAUACUGGCCGCUUAAGCCUUGAACAAUGGCGACACUGCUUAAUUAUGGCGUCCCUAGCUAAGCAAUUAUUAAAUUGGCUUAUACUUGGCAUAACUGCUUUAAAUCCAAGUAAAUAUUACUUACAGUUCGUUAAGAUAUUUAGUUGUAACAAUUUCAUUAAUGUACACAACCGACGAUACCCUAAACUCAUAUUUUUAAUAAUUUUAAUUGUUCAGGCGUCAGGCCUUAGCCUACACGUAGUAACGCCAAAAAUCACAGUUUUUUAAAUUACUUCCUGUUCCUGUGUGGCUGAGAUACGUGUAUACACAAUAUAUAUGUUUCAUAACAUCCUUUCAUGGCCUUUGGUUACAACAAUACGGUAAGGAACUAGAAUAAAAUUAAUUGAAUUUACAAAUUAAACAGAUGGUCAGAAUAAAAAAUAGACGGUAAAAAAAUUAACGAAAAUUACAACAAUGCAGAUGAAAAAAAAAAAAAUAUUAAUAUUAUUAAAGUUCCACAGAUGAAAAGUUUAUGGUUGUAAUAAGGCGAAAUAUUUACUAAACAUUCAUAGCAGAUAUCUUAAUAAACACGAAGAUGUCUGUGCUAUUACCAUGUAAUAGUACAGAUGCUGUCCCAUGGGAUAAUCAUAAAACGAAGCGAGCACAAAGCAUAAGAUCGCCGGUUUAUUAUUAACCCAUCUGUCUCUCUCACACACAGCAGGUGCGACCGUUACUCGAAGCGACGGUUGAGAAUUGGCAAGGAGGUGGGGGUUGGGUGGCGCGCUAAUCAGCGAUCAACCGGCGGCCGAGGCGUGGCGUGACUGUUCAGUCUCGUGUCAGCCGUCUCGCAGUAGACACCUCGCUGCUUCGCGCUCCGGAAAUGGCGCGAAAACUCCGUCGUCUCGUAGUCGUGCUGUUGAUAGGGUGUUGGGAUGGUGAAGAACAUCAAGCAGGAACAUAGCACUGCGUCGUGGUGUGCUGCCACACACCUGGGCAGGCGAUAACGAUACCUCCACGCCACCGCAGGGGGGUGUCGGCUACUGAUCACGGCAACAGGAUGUACCGUGUCGGGUGACCUGCGUUCGUGAGAACUAGUGGCUGACAGUGGCGGGUCCUGACGAUGUCCGCUACAGUGCCGGGCUCGGCUCUCCAGGUGGCCCGCGGGCUGUCCCAGCCCUUGACCAGGGAUGGUAUCAACGGGGAAUAGACGGAGGUCUCAUGCUGACGCAGCUGUGUCAGCAUACGUGGCGUCAACCUAAUGUCUAGUAGGAGCGAGGCCAGCUCCGUCAUCGCACCGCUAAGUAUAUUUCCGUGUUCUACACUCGUGGUUAUUUCCGCACUAUGCACACGACAGGUGUGUAUCUAGUAUAUCGCGUUUCCAUAACUCACUUUAACAGUAAACAUAACAAUGUUCUGUGCUGACUGGUUGCUGCUUGAAGUCGCUCUCACAGUAGGAUUGGUGUAAAUAACCAGGAAAGAUUUAAUCACUUUUACGAAAAUUAAUUUCUUAAUCAAAAAAAAAUUAUAUUCGUUACGAGAAAUAGGAAAUUGUUUAAAGAAAAUAAAUUCUAGUUGUCAUUAUUGACGUAUUAAUAAUAUACUAUACAUUGCAACAAUAAGAUAAAAUCUUAUUAAUUAUUCAACAUCAAAGUAAUGCUAUAAUUGUGGAUUAUCAUAGGAACACAAUAUUUACACAAUUGUACUGCUAGUUUACUUAUUGGUUGACUAGUCUGUCAGUGGUAUAACCUUAUAUUAGUUUUCUGGUUUUGUUUACAACUUGUAAUUACCAUAUCAAUAAUUAUCAGUGUUGAUUUACACCAUUUUUUUUUUUUUUUAUAAU